rnacentral:rRNA from 1 species
GACGGAGGGUGCAAGCGUUGUUCGGAAUUACUGGGCGUAAAGCGUGUUCAGGCGGUCUAGCAAGUCGGGCAUGAAAUCUCUCGGCUCAACCGGGAGGGGUUGUCCGAUACUGCUGGGCUUGAGGGCAGCAGAGGGUGGUGGAAUUCCGGGUGUAGUGGUGAAAUGCGUAGAUAUCUGGAGGAACACCGGUGGCGAAGGCGGCAUCCUGGACCGACACUGACGCUGAGGAGCGAAAGCCAGGGGAGCAAACGGG